rnacentral:rRNA from 1 species
GACGUAGGGCGCGAGCGUUGUCCGGAUUUAUUGGGCGUAAAGAGCUCGUAGGCGGCUUGUCGCGUCGACUGUGAAAACCCAUGGCUCAACCAUGGGCUUGCAGUCGAUACGGGCGGGCUAGAGUUCGGUAGGGGAGACUGGAAUUCCUGGUGUAGCGGUGAAAUGCGCAGAUAUCAGGAGGAACACCGGUGGCGAAGGCGGGUCUCUGGGCCGAUACUGACGCUGAGGAGCGAAAGCGUGGGGGAGCGAACAGG